rnacentral:misc_RNA from 1 species
ACCUACUGUUUAAUUUUGAGGGUUCGUUUUUACGAAUACUCAAAAUUAGCACUUUUAGCAACAGAAUAAACUGAACGCAUGUGAAGUUUGUUUGUUGGCGCUGUGCGUUAGCACUUUAAGCAACGGGAUUUAUCCGUUGGCGCCGUGCUUUAGCACUUUGAAAACUGCAUAUAUAUUUAGUGAUAUGACAUCUAAUUUGUAAUAUAUAAAGCUGAUAACUUUUUAAAAUUAUCGAAGUUGAUAGCUUCUAAUCUAUCAAACCUUUUUAACUGGUCAA